CACGUAGGGGGCAAGCGUUGUCCGGAUUUAUUGGGCGUAAAGAGCUCGUAGGCGGCUCGAUUAGUCGGGUGUGAAAUUCCGAGGCUCAACCUCGGAACGCCACUCGAUACUGUCGUGGCUAGAGUCCGGUAGAGGAGCGUGGAAUUCCUGGUGUAGCGGUGAAAUGCGCAGAUAUCAGGAGGAACACCAGCGGCGAAGGCGGCGCUCUGGGCCGGUACUGACGCUGAGGAGCGAAAGCGUGGGGAGCAAA
rnacentral:rRNA from 1 species